CCCCGCCGGACCUCGCCUCCGACCGGUGUUCCCUCGCUGGAGGCCUCCCUGCGCCGCCCGACGCCAUGGCGCCGGCACACCGCGCCCGUCCGCCUCCAUGCCCGCGCCAGAUCGGAAGAG